UACGGAGGGUGCAAGCGUUAUCCGGAUUCACUGGGUUUAAAGGGUGCGUAGGUGGGAAUGUAAGUCAGUGGUGAAAUCUCCGUGCUUAACACGGAAACUGCCAUUGAUACUAUGUUUCUUGAAUUAUCUGGAGGUCAGCGGAAUAUGUCAUGUAGCGGUGAAAUGCUUAGAUAUGACAUAGAACACCUAUUGCGAAGGCAGCUUACUACACAGAGAUUGACGCUCAUGCACGAAAGCGUGGGGAUCAAACAGG
rnacentral:rRNA from 1 species